GCGAUUAUUGCCCAAGUCAGUCACACUCCAGACAGACUGGCACUUGGCUGAUCUCUUCCGGAAGUCUGGACGCCUGGGUUGAAGGAUUGGAGAAUGGGCUGUAUAAUAAGGACCACAGCUAAGUGGCCCUCAGACCUGGAGACUCAUGGAAUGGAGUAGCCAGGUAAGGAUGUGAAAGGGUCAUACCUCAUCUGGACCCCGAAGAAGACAACCCAAUUUGAUGACUCACCCAAAUCUGCAAUGACUCCUGGAACCUUGCCCAAUAAUCAGAUCUGCUCAGAGGAUGAAAAGGGAGAUUUGCUACAACGGAAGGCUUUCAAAGGAGUGUGCUUUGAGCCCUGAAGGCCAUUGCCAAAGAGCAGCUCCGAGGGAGCGCAGCUUUCCAAGGGGCCCGCUCUCAAAGGCAUGGCAUGCAUUUUUGGAAAGUCAAGCUUUGGCGUGCUUAAUAAAAAAGAUAUUCACGGCGCCUGUAGCAACUCUACACGCUGAGCUUUUCUGUCCUCGGCAGCUCAGUUCCAGGAACUAGGACUGAAUCUGCUGCUUCCUUGCUCCCUUUGAGCCCUGCUUCCCUUUACCCGCCCCUGAUAUCUGGAAGGUUGCUCUGUUUCACUCGGAUACGAAGUGGCAGGCUUGGUGGCAGCCCUGUGAUCUUUGAAAUGUACCCUCUGGGAGCUGCAUUUCCUUCCUCUGUAAACCCAGGAAAGAAUUCCACGCUCCUCAGAGCGGCAACAAGUGAAGUUGUGUCUGUUUGGAGGCCUGGCUUCCUGAGGCCCUGGCAAGGUUUAGGA